rnacentral:antisense_RNA from 1 species
UGAGAAUACUCAGAAGCUGGAGCUAGGGCCAGUUAUGUGCUGCUACUGAAGUAAAAUUGAAAACAGGAAGUGGAAAACAAGGUAGAAGUCCCUUCUUUUCUUCUGCUUUGUGAUCUCCUUCUAAUGCCUCACAUUGGAAAACCUAACAGGAAGCCAGCUAGCUGAGAGGUGGACAGAUUUCGUUUGCAUCAUCCCAACCCCAGGAUUACAGAGAAGAGCAUAGAAAGAUAUCUUGGAGAUCACAGAUAAAUCGCCAGCACAGACAGCAUCAUGUCCAGUUAGGAGGCCAUGGCAGUAGCCCAGGAGAGAGAAGAUGAUGGCCCAGACAUUUGGUCAGGACACAAACCACUGUCAAAAAAGGUCUUCCUGAGUUCUGAAGGUCAAGCAAUUAGAAUUUUCUCAGGCUUGUAGAAGAGUGGAAUUCUGGAAACCAGUCUUUGCCUCAGGGGAGCAUCUGUUGGAAGUUCUUAGGGAUGCUCAGGCAUAUGGCCUCAGAAACAUGGGCUAUUGAGACAGAGAAAAAGACAACUCUGGAAGGAGAGAGCCUGGACUUACAGAAGACAUCUGAACUAUUAAUCAACAGAAAUCUCACGUAUAGUUGAAGAAUCAGAAAUCUGAGCGUAGGAAGAAGUGGGUUAGCCCUGGAGAAAGGAAAAGGAGGAUCAUAGUUCUCUGCAAAGAGCUGGAAGCUAAAAAGCAGGCUGUGUUUACUUACCAACCAGGACACAGUGGGAUCUUUGCCAGCUUCCAAUAUGG